rnacentral:rRNA from 1 species
GAUGAACGCUGGCAGCGUGCCUAAUACAUGCAAGUCGAGCGAACGGACGAGAAGCUUGCUUCUCUGAUGUUAGCGGCGGACGGGUGAGUAACACGUGGAUAACCUACCUAUAAGACUGGGAUAACUUCGGGAAACCGGAGCUAAUACCGGAUGAUAUUUUGAACCGCAUGGUUCAAAAGUGAAAGACGGUCUUGCUGUCACUUAUAGAUGGAUCCGCGCUGCAUUAGCUAGUUGGUAAGGUAACGGCUUACCAAGGCAACGAUGCAUAGCCGACCUGAGAGGGUGAUCGGCCACACUGGAACUGAGACACGGUCCAGACUCCUACGGGAGGCAGCAGUAGGGAAUCUUCCACAAUGGGCGAAAGCCUGACGGAGCAACGCCGCGUGAGUGAUGAAGGUCUUCGGAUCGUAAAACUCUGUUAUUAGGGAAGAACAUAUGUGUAAGUAACUGUGCACAUCUUGACGGUACCUAAUCAGAAAGCCACGGCUAACUACGUG